GACGAACGCUGGCGGCGUGCUUAACACAUGCAAGUCGAACGGAAAGGCCCUGCUUUUGUGGGGUGCUCGAGUGGCGAACGGGUGAGUAACAGGUGAGUAACCUGCCCUUGACUUUGGGAUAACUUCAGGAAACUGGGGCUAAUACCGGAUAGGAGCUCCUGCUGCAUGGUGGGGGUUGGAAAGGUUCGGCGGGUGGGGAUGGACUCGCGGCUUAUCAGCUUGUUGGUGGGGUAGUGGCUUACCAAGGCUUUGACGGGUAGCCGGCCUGAGAGGGUGACCGGCCACAUUGGGACUGAGAUACGGCCCAGACUCCUACGGGAGGCAGCAGUGGGGAAUAUUGCACAAUGGGCGGAAGCCUGAUGCAGCAACGCCGCGUGCGGGAUGACGGCCUUCGGGUUGUAAACCGCUUUCGCCUGUGACGAAGCGUGAGUGACGGUAAUGGGUAAAGAAGCACCGGCUAACUACGUG
rnacentral:rRNA from 1 species